rnacentral:misc_RNA from 1 species
GAUGAAGAACGUAGCGAAAUGCGAUAAGUAAUGUGAAUUGCAGAUUUCAGUGAAUCAUCGAAUCUUUGAACGCACCUUGCGCCUUGUGGUAUUCCACAAGGCAUGCCCGUUUGAGUAUCAUUAAAUCAUCAACUCUAAAACCUUUGUGGUUUUUUUAGAGCUUGGUCUUGAGGGUUUUGCAGGCUUUUUUUUUUUCGAGUCUGCUCCCUUUAAAUGCAUUAGCGAGACUUCCCUAUGCUGAACCGUCUCUUUGACGUGAUAAUUAUCUGCGUCGAAUUUUGGUUCUCGUUGGGCUUGCUUCUAAUCGUCUGUUAAAGACAAAACGGAUUUGGGUGCAUAUAUGCGCCUUUUUCCAAAACCUUUUUUGAUCUCAAAUCGGGUAGGACUACCCGCUGAACUUAAGCAUAUCAAUAAGCGGAGA